GAGUUUUUAAAUUCAUUAUAAUAUACUUGGUUGAUUUGGAAACACGGAAAAACGUACCAAAAGUCAGGUUCUUAUUACUGUAAGGACAUGUUACAAUUGCUUUCAGAAAGAGAUGUAAAAGCUAUUUUUCAUGCCAAAGAUACAUGAUGCAAAGUAAAAUCUUAAAAGGUUACAAAAGUCAUUAAGGUCCUAAGAUUGGAU
rnacentral:lncRNA from 1 species